rnacentral:rRNA from 1 species
UACGAAGGGUGCAAGCGUUAAUCGGAAUUACUGGGCGUAAAGGGUGCGUAGGCGGUUCGUUAAGUCUGUCGUGAAAUCCCCGGGCUCAACCUGGGAAUGGCGAUGGAUACUGGCGAGCUAGAGUGUGUCAGAGGAUGGUGGAAUUCCCGGUGUAGCGGUGAAAUGCGUAGAGAUCGGGAGGAACACCAGUGGCGAAGGCGGUUGCCUGGAGCUUUGCUGACGCUGAUGCGCGAAAGCGUGGGGAGCGAACAGG